rfam:Galdieria sulphuraria unplaced genomic scaffold scaf_35, whole genome shotgun sequence.
GCGUCCUUAGUUCAGUUGGUAGAACGUAGGUUUCCAAAACCUAAUGCCGAGGGUUCAAUUCCUUCAGGACGUG